rnacentral:rRNA from 1 species
UACGGGGGGGGCAAGCGCUGUUCGGAAUUACUGGGCGUAAAGGGCGUGUAGGUGGCCAACUAAGUCAGACGUGAAAUCCCUCGGCUUAACCGGGGAACUGCGUCUGAUACUGGAUGGCUUGAGUUUGGGAGAGGGAUGCGGAAUUCCAGGUGUAGCGGUGAAAUGCGUAGAUAUCUGGAGGAACACCGGUGGCGAAGGCGGCAUCCUGGACCAAUACUGACACUAAAGCGCGAAAGCCAGGGGAGCAAACGGG